CUCUCCCCUCCUAGGAGCUGGCUCGAACUGGAUGAAAGUGUGAGCCUUGCAGUCAUCAACUUCCAAAAUCGAAGCCAUAUUUCCACAGCGAUAGCAAUAAUUAGGUGCACUAAAAAUGGUAACCACCUUUUGUUCCUGCACCCAGAAAACAAAUGAAAUGUCUUAAAGACUAAACUUACUGUCCUGAAAACAUAAUCCAGAAGGACAUUCAUGAACUGCAAGAAUGAUAAAUACAUGUGCCCAAUUAAAUCCAUCCA
rnacentral:misc_RNA from 1 species